CUCUGCUCGUAAAUCCUUUGAAGAAAAUCAUUUUGUCAUCGCCCAACCAGCCCGCUGUCGUCCAGUAUUCACUUUCUCGCCCAGACGAUGCGUCGUUGCUUAGCCUUCAUCUUCUUCACACGUUGUCACACAAUCCCGUCGUCGUGCAGUCUCCCCGCUAUCAAGGCCACUUCUUCCCAGGACUGCAAUCAUGUGACUCAUCAAGUGCUUUCAAGGUGUGAUGGUAUGUGAAAGGAUUCUAUAUAAUUCUUUUGGGUGAACACCAAACUGCCUUAUCUUGACAAACCAGAAGAUGUACCAAUUGUUAUCUUAGCAUUUUCCUAAUCAACUAUGUGCAAGAAAUUAUGGAAACUGAUAAAGGUGUUUGUAGAACGUACGAAGAAAAGCAACAGAAAAGAGACUGAAAGCAAAGACCGAAUGGAUUGAAGCUUAGUGAAAGCAACAGAAAAGAGACUGAAAGCAAAUUGAGCACACAAGAUUUAGAAAAAUGAAAAUCCCAAGAUGAACCAAAUGAAAGAUAACUCUUCAGAGUACAUACAAAGCCUAACCCCAGUGCCGGAAGACACGAAUGUUCAUAAAUAAUAGAUGUGUGUUUAAUCAUUUGUUAAAAAAAACUCGGCCUUUGAGGUUGUGAUUACUUAGCAAUUAGUUGAUUAUUUGUUGUUUAGUUUAAUAUUCCAAAAAUAGAUACAUGUUUAACCAAAUGUAAAGUUGUAUUGUAUUUUAAGUUGUAAUGUUGUAAUUACACACCAUGUAUUUUUUGAGGAAUAUGAUGAUGUUGUUUGAGAUUUAUAC